rnacentral:rRNA from 1 species
AGGACGAACGCUGGCGGCACGCUUAACACAUGCAAGUCGAACGGAGAAUUUUGGUUACUGAGAAUCUAGUGGCGGACGGGUGAGUAACACGUGAGCAACCUACCUCAGAGAGAGGGAUAGCUUCUGGAAACGGGUGGUAAUACCUCAUAACAUAACUGAAAGGCAUCUUUUGGUUAUCAAAGAUUUAUCACUCUGAGAUGGGGCUCGCGUCUGAUUAGAUAGUUGGUGAGGUAACGGCUCACCAAGUCGACGAUCAGUAGCCGGACUGAGAGGUUGAACGGCCACAUUGGGACUGAGACACGGCCCAGACUCCUACGGGAGGCAGCAGUGGGGAAUAUUGCACAAUGGGGGAAACCCUGAUGCAGCGAUGCCGCGUGGAGGAAGAAGGUUUUCGGAUUGUAAACUCCUGUCUUAAAGGACGAUAAUGACGGUACUUUAGGAGGAAGCUCCGGCUAACUACGUGCCAGCCGCCGC